rnacentral:rRNA from 1 species
UUGACCUCAAAUGCAGGUGAAGGACUACCCGC